GACGAACGCUGGCGGCGUGCCUAAUACAUGCAAGUUGAGCGCUGAAGGUUGGUACUUGUACCAACUGGAUGAGCAGCGAACGGGUGAGUAACGCGUGGGGAAUCUGCCUUUGAGCGGGGGACAACAUUUGGAAACGAAUGCUAAUACCGCAUAAAAACUUUAAACACAAGUUUUAAGUUUGAAAGAUGCAAUUGCAUCACUCAAAGAUGAUCCCGCGUUGUAUUAGCUAGUUGGUGAGGUAAAGGCUUACCAAGGCGAUGAUACAUAGCCGACCUGAGAGGGUGAUCGGCCACAUUGGGACUGAGACACGGCCCAAACUCCUACGGGAGGCAGCAGUAGGGAAUCUUCGGCAAUGGACGAAAGUCUGACCGGGCAACGCCGCGUGAGGGAAGAAGGUUUUCGGAUCGUAAAACUCUGUUGGUAGAGAAGAACGUUGGUGGGAGUGGAAAGCGCAUCAAGUGACGGUAACUACCCAGAAAGGGACGGCUAACUACGUG
rnacentral:rRNA from 1 species